rnacentral:rRNA from 1 species
ACGCUGGCGGCGGCCUAACACAUGCAAGUCGAGCGCCCCGCAAGGGGAGCGGCAGACGGGAGAGUAACACGUGGGAACGUACCCUUCAGUUCGGAACAACCCAGGGAAACUUGGGCUAAUACCGAAUACGUCCGUAAGGAGAAAGAUUUAUCGCUGAAGGAUCGGCCCGCGUCUGAUUAGCUUGUUGGUGAGGUAACGGCUCACCAAGGCGACGAUCAGUAGCUGGUCUGAGAGGAUGAUCAGCCUCACUGGGACUGAGACACGGCCCAGACUCCUACGGGAGGCAGCAGUGGGGAAUAUUGGACAAUGGGCGCAAGCCUGAUCCAGCCAUGCCGCGUGGAUGAUGAAGGCCCUAGGGUUGUAAAGUCCUUUCGGCGGGGAAGAUAAUGACGGUACCCGCAGAAGAAGCCCCGGCUAACUUCGUGCCAGCAGCCGCGGUAAUACGAAGGGGGCUAUCGUUGCUCGGAAUCACUGGGCGUAAAGCGCACGUAUGCGGCUUUUUAAGUCAGGGGUGAAAUCCUGGAGCUCAACUCCAAAACUGCCUUUGAUACUGAGA